ACCACUUCCCUACCUCGGACCCCGCGCGACUCCGGUCUCUCUCUCUCUUCCUCGCGGUGCCAGGUGGUGGCGCUGGGCCCACGCCGCCACGCGCAGGCGGGGGCCGUCCUCGGCCGUCGGAUCCGCGGCAUGACCCCCGAGCCCGGACCAGAGAGGAGCCCCAGAAUCAGAUUAAACCCACUCCCACACAGGGACACUGGGCGCCGCUUCGACCGACCCGCCGUCGGAGAGAUCGCUCGCUGUCGGCCUCGGCUUCGGCGCCGGCCAGGCUCCC
rnacentral:lncRNA from 1 species